ensembl:lncRNA
GGAAGGAAGGUGACGCGGAAAAGGUCUCCCUGCUGCUGUGGAGCUGUUGUGUAGAGAGAGAGGACAUUAUUUCAGAUUCCAGUCAAGGUAACAAGAAGGCUGACGAUAUGGCUGGGAGUAGCGGCUGUAGCGUCGUUACAUGUGUGGACAUGUGGAGCUGAAAGUCUUGUUGGUUCAUAAGAUAUGUUGCAUGGCGAACAGAGCGAUGGUGGCGUCAUAUAUAUGAGGUUAGUGAUAAGAGCACAAGGAGCAUGGUCAAGGAGAAUAUUUAUGUACCAAGUUUCAAAAGUUGAGUUCCCUGACCGGGAAUCGAACCCGGGCCGCGGCGGUGAGAGCGCCGAAUCCUAACCACUAGACCACCAGGGAGCAUGUUCUCCUCCGACCAGGGAGCAAAAAUCUUGAUCACCAUGGACCACCAGGGAGCCUGAGUGGUCUUAACAAUUAGACCACCAGGGAGACGUCCUAACUACUAGACCACCAGGGAGAGGUCCUAACCAGUGGCGGCUGGUGAUCAAAAAUGUUGGUGAGGCAAAGUAAAGAAAGGGGGUCUGGGGUCCCCCCCCCCAUACAUUUUUUUGAAUUUAAUAGAUUUGAUUUCCUGUAUUCUGGUGCAUUUUGGGGAUGGCCACUACCUAUUUACCUACUAUUCAUUCAGAUUCAUAGCCUAGUACAUCCUGACUUGCAGGGCCUGGACAAACUUACACUGCAUAUACAGACCUACUUCAUGGCCAUUCCACCAGCC